UGGCGGACGGGUGAGUAAAGCUUGGGAAUUUGCCUUUGCGAGGGGGAUAACUACUGGAAACGGUAGCUAAUACCGCAUAAUACUUAAGGGUCAAAGGUUGCUUCGGCAAUUGCGCAAAGAGAAGCCCAAGUAAGAUUAGCUAGUUGGUGAGGUAAGGGCUCACCAAGGCGACGAUCUUUAGCUGUUCUGAGAGGAAGGACAGCCACACUGGGACUGAGACACGGCCCAGACUCU
rnacentral:rRNA from 1 species